ensembl:lncRNA
UACAUGAUCACUGGAAAAACCAUAGCUUUGACUGGAAGACCUUUGUUGGCAAAAUAAUGUCUCUGCUUUUUAAUAUGCUGUCUAGAUUGGUCAUAACUUUUCUUCCAAGGAGUAAGCAUCUUAAUUUCAUGGCUGCAGUCACCAUCUGCAGUGACUUUGGAGCCCCCCAAAAUAAAAUUUGCUACUGUUUCCACUGUUUCCCAUCUAUUUGCUUUGAAGUGAUGGGACCAGAUGCCAUGAUCUUAGUUUUCUGAACGUUGAGUUUUAAGCCAGCUUUUUCACUCUCCUUUUCACUUUCAUCAAGAGGCUCUUCAGUUCUUCACUUUCUGCCAUAAAGGUGGUGUCAUCUGCUUAUCUGAGAUUAUUGAUAUUUCUUCUGGCAAUUUUGAUUCCAGCCUGUGCUGUGUCCAGUCCAGCAUUUCUCAUGAUGUACUCUGCAUAUAAGUUAAAUAAGCUGGGUGACAAUAUACAGCCUUGACAUACUCCUUUCCCAGUUUGGAACCAGUCUGUUGUUCCAUGUCCAGUUCUAACUUGCUUUCUGACCUGCAUACAGAUUUCUCAAGAGGCAGGUCAGGUGAUCUGGUAUUCCCAUCUCUUAAGAAUUUUCCAGAGUUAGUUGUGAUCCACACAGUCAAAGGCUUUGGCAUAGUUAAUAAAGCAGAAGUAGGUGUUUUUCUGGAACUCUUGCUUUUUCAAUGAUAAAGCGGUUGUUGGCAAUUUGAUCUCUGGUUCCUCUGCCUUGUCUAAAUCCAGCUUGAACACUUGGAAAUUCACGGUUCACAUACUGUUGAAGCCUGGCUUGGAGAAUUUUGAAUGUUACUUUACUAGUGUGUGAGAUGAGUGCAAUUGUGUGGUAGUUUGAACAUUCUCUGGCAUUGCCUUUUUUUGGGAUUGGAAUGAAAACUGACCUUUUUGAGUCCUGUGGCCACUGCUGAGUUUUCCAAAUUUGCUGGCAUAUUGAGUGCAGCACUUUCACAGCAUCAUCUUUUAGGAUUUGAAAUAGCUCAACUGGAAUUCCAACACCUCCACUAGCUUUGUUUGUAGUGAUGCUUCGUAAGGCCCACUUGACUUCACAUUCCAGGAUGUCUGGGUCUAGGUCCACAGUAUUUCACGUGGCUCAGUGGGUAAAGAAUCCGCCUGCUGAUGCUGCAAGAGACACAGGAGAUGUGGAUUCGAUCCCUGGGUUGGGAAGAUCCCCCUGGAGGAGGAAAUAGCAGUUCACUCCAGUAUUAUUGCCUGGAGAAUCCUGUGGACAGAGGAGCCUGGCAGGCUCUACAGUCCAUGGAGUGGAAAAGAAUCAGACACAACUGAAGUGACUGAGCAUGCACGCAGAACCUGUUAACCAAGUGCAAGGGGAAGAAAGAUACAGGCAAACAUGAAGAGCGUGUGUUACUCACAGGUCUUCCCUGACGAAGCAAUGAAGGACAUAAUCCAGGAAGGAGAGAAUAGUUCAGAAGAAAGGAGUGAGAUUCAGGAAGAAUGGGGAGCAGAGGGAUAGGAGACCAUGAGGGCAGAUCCUCAGACACUGGUUGACCACAACAGCAAAGAUGACGGUGGCCUAUUUGGAUGGUUAACAGCAAUGGAGAGGGGGUUCCAGAGAGGCGAAGGCUGUGGCGGCAGGGGUUUGGAAUUUCUGUGAUUCCCUCCGUAUUGUAGGAACAGAUACUAGAGAGCAAAACCAGAAAUCCCACUGGUACUUCUAUCUAGCCCAGGUGACACAGUGGUAAAGAAUCCUCCUGCUAACACAGGGGAUGCAAGACCCCUGGGUCAGGAAGAGCCCCUGGAGAGGGAAAUGGCAGCCCGCUCCAGUAUUCUUGCCUGGAAAAUCCCACGGACAGAGGAGCCUCACAGUCUACGGUCCAUGGGGUCACAAACGACUGAGCAACUGAGCACGCACACAUUGAACCAUUAGGUGAGAUGUUACUGUGAACCACCCCUAUGAUCCCCCAGAGGACAAAUGGGUGGGGACAGAUCAACCACGGCCCCAAGCCCGGCACGGUAUCUGCUGUGGUGCCAGAGGAAGCAGAGGGGAGCAGGGACAGCUGAUGGACCCGAGAGCUGAGACCCCAGGGUAGCCAAGGGUUCUACCAGGAAGGAGGUGCGGUGGAACCAUCUGAUGAGGCUGGGAAGGUUACCCAGUCCGACAGCAAGUGAACUCUGGGGACCUUGGUAAGAUCUGGACAGGGGCGGGCUGCCUUGGUGGUCCAGGGGCUAAGUCUGUGCUCCCAAUGCAGGGGGCCCAGCUUCAUUCCCUGGUCGCGGAACUAGAUUCUGCACACCACAUUGAAGGUCCCACGUGCAGCAACUAAGACCCAGUGCGGCCAAAAGAAAUAGGAAAGAGUAAAAAGAAAAGGUCCAGGGGGCUGGGGCACUCAGUCCUGACACUGACCCUCCUGGGCUGGCCUCUGAGACAGACCGGCAUUGCAGAGAAACUGCUGAAUGGGAUCCGAUUGACCGGGGCAGGGAUGGCAGGAGUGAAAGAGAGGUGAGCCCCAGGUGUGUGGGGAAGUGAAGGCAGCCCCCACAUCUCAGAAGGCCAGCUGCCAUAUCUGUCAGCCCCAAGCAAAAACAACCCUGUAAAAUUAGAAAUGUUCUAAACGGUUUCCUCAUCUUUUGCCCUGUAACCGAUUUCUCCCCUCCCCCCAACCAAACCAGAAGUCAACAACAAAACCAGCUGAACUCAGACGUCCACUGCUCUCCGCUGACCAGUGAUCUCCUGAGCCUUCCCUUCUGAGACCCGCCCUGCAGGCAGCACCUGGUCUUGGGAUGGAUGUUAGGAACCUCAAUUCCUCCCUAAAUCUAUUGCCAGAUUCACUCUAGUGCACCCGUAGGGCUGCAAUGUGGUGAAGAAAGCUGAGGACAUUUAGGGUGUCCCGACAGAGUGCCUACAGGAGCAGGAUAUACAUGACCCCAAACACGGGACACGUCCAUGUGGGCAGCCUACACCUCUCUGAACCUCUUGGUCCAAAGGAUAUCCCAGGAAGUGCUCAUCACUUGAUUGAGGAGCCAGGUUCACUGCUGGCGUCCUUCCCAAGGAUGCUGAAAUCUUUUAAAAAACUAAUUUUUCGGCCGUGUGGGAUCUAGUUCCCUGGCCAGGGACCGGACCUGCAGCCCCUUCAUUGGAAGCGUGGAGUCCUAACCACUGGACCACCAGGUUGCCUGAGAAGCCAGAAAACAGACCUCUCUGCCUAACCCAGGGCUUCUGGACCAGGGUCUCCAAGGGGAGCAGAGCAGAGGUAUUUGAAGCCAACCCCUUCAGGAUGCUGACUGUCAUAUCCCAAAUGAACACCAGGUGGCGUCCAGGCUCCGUGCUGGUCCUGGAGACCCCAGAGGCAGGCUCUGCAUUAAAAAAAUUUUUUUUUCCUUCUUGUCAUACUUGUCUACUGAAAAGUUGGCAGGGAAGUUUGUGCAAUGUGGAAUGUGGGGCAGUGACCUCAAUUGUCCUGCCCUGUGCAUGACAUGCCUUCAACAAUCCUGUGUUUGAUUG